AUUCUUUAUUCGAAGGGGUGAAUUCUACUACAAAAAUGGUCGAUCUACUACCAAAACUAAAAUGAAAGGUUGAAAGUCAUGACCUACUCUUAGGCAUAGCUUUGCAGCGGGUAUUUCGUUAACUGAUUCGUCUCUUUUCCUUUCUUUUCCUUUUCUGUUUUUUUUUUUACUUUGGUAUAUGUGUGUAUAUACAUAUGUGUAUUAUUUUAAGCGGACUAUAUGAACCUUUGUAGGUACAUGCAUACAUACAAAACCAAAAUGGAGGAUGAAGAGAUUCACGUAGCUGUGGGUUAUGUUGUGUAUGAUGGGAAAUGAGACCACCGAGCUUAAGCUGGAAUCUAUUGGGGGGAUGAUAUCCAGAGCGCUGCGACUCGCCUAUCUAAAAUUGGUGCAAAUGUCUGAGCUUGGUCACUAAUUGGUCCAAUUAUAGAAAUCCUAAACCUUAGCAUCUCAUAUUAAUUUGUGCAUGAAAUUGUAGAAAAUGGCGUGCCAACCACAUUCGGCGAAGAUGGUAAAGUGUGCGUGGCGGAGACUCGCAUUCCAAGUAUAAUCGUCAAGAGGCCAAUACAUAAGGAGACCGUGCUACCAAUAGCUUAAGCCCUUACUCCUUCAACGGGGGCGGAAUGUUGAAUCAGUUUAAGUUGAAAUAAAAUUAUUUAAAUUAAGAAUACCACCAAUGUCAACUCUUAUAGUGCAGCAACGUUGUGUCACACACACAACAGCAUCAAUUAAUUUAUCUGAAGAUCACUUUUAAUCGUUGCAAUUAUCGUUUGCUCAUAUAAAGCAGCAAAAAUUUGACAAAGCCUCUCCUGUAAUAAUUUUUAAGCUUGAAUUAAUAAAAGACAAGUGUUAUUUCGUUUUCGUUGCAAAUAGACACCGAUCAGCCGAUCACUGAAAAUAACAAACAAUAA